GUGUCUGUAGCUCAGUUGGAUAGAGCGGCGCCCUCCUAAGGCGUAGGCCAUGAGUUCGAAUCUCGUCAGGCACA
rnacentral:tRNA from 1 species